CGUGUAGGCGGCCAGGUAGGUCGGUUGUGAAAACUGGAGGCUCAACCUCCAGACGUCGACCGAAACCAUCUGGCUAGAGUCCGGAAGAGGAGAAUGGAAUUCCUGGUGUAGCGGUGAAAUGCGCAGAUAUCAGGAAGAACACCCGUGGCGAAGGCGGCUCUCUGGGACGGUACUGACGCUGAGACGCGAAAGCGUGGGAGCGAACA
rnacentral:rRNA from 1 species